UACGAAGGGGGGCUAGCGUUGCUCGGAAUCACUGGGCGUAAAGGGCGCGUAGGCGGCCGAUCAAGUCGGAGGUGAAAGCCCAGGGCUCAACCCUGGAAUGGCCUUCGAUACUGGUUGGCUCGAGACCGGAAGAGGUAAGUGGAACUGCGAGUGGUAGAGGUGAAAUUCGUAGAUAUUCGCAAGAACACCAGUGGCGAAGGCGGCUUACUGGUCCGGUUCUGACGCUGAGGCGCGAAAGCGUGGGGAGCAAACAGG
rnacentral:rRNA from 1 species